CCUACGGGUGGCAGCAGUGAGGAAUAUUGGUCAAUGGGCGCGAGCCUGAACCAGCCAUGCCGCGUGCAGGAAGACGGCUCUAUGAGUUGUAAACUGCUUUUGUACGAGGGUAAACGCAGAUACGCGUAUCUGUCUGAAAGUAUCGUACGAAUAAGGAUCGGCUAACUCCGUGCCAGCAGCCGCGGUAAUACGGAGGAUUCAAGCGUUAUCCGGAUUUAUUGGGUUUAAAGGGUGCGUAGGCGGUCGGAUAAGUUAGAGGUGAAAUCCCGAGGCUCAACUUCGGAAUUGCCUCUGAUACUGUUCGGCUAGAGAGUAGUUGCGGUAGGCGGAAUGUAUGGUGUAGCGGUGAAAUGCUUAGAGAUCAUACAGAACACCGAUUGCGAAGGCAGCUUACUAAACUGCCACUGACGUUGAGGCUCGAAAGCGUGGGGAGCGAACAGGAUUAGAUACCCGGGUAGUC
rnacentral:rRNA from 1 species